AUACGGGGGGAGCAAGCGUUGUCCGGAAUCACUGGGCGUAAAGGGCGUGUAGGCGGGUUGGUCAGUCAGAUUUGAAAGCCUGCGGCUUAACCGUAGAAAUGCAUUUGAAACUGCCGGCCUUGAGUGCGAGAGAGGGUAGUGGAAUUCCCAGUGUAGCGGUGAAAUGCGUAGAUAUUGGGAAGAACACCAGUAGCGAAGGCGGCUACCUGGCUCGCAGCUGACGCUAAUGCGCGAAAGCGUGGGGAGCGAACAGGAUUAGAAACCCUAGUAGUCC
rnacentral:rRNA from 1 species